GACGAACGCUGGCGGCGCGCUUAACACAUGCAAGUCGAGCGAAGCGCCGGACGGGUGAGUAACACGUGAGUAACCUGCCUUAUACAUUGGGAUAGCCUCGGGAAACCGGGAUUAAUACCAAAUGGUCUAAGAUGGACUCGCGUCCGAUUAGCUAGUUGGUGAGGUAACGGCCCACCAAGGCGACGAUGGGUAGCCGGCCGGAGAGGGGGAACGGGCACAGUGGAAAUGAGAAAAGGUCAAAACUCUACGGGAGGCAGAAGUGGGGAAUAUUGCACAAUGGAGGGAACUCUGAUGCAGCGACGCAGGGUGAACGAAGAAGGAUUUCGAGUCGUAAAGUGCUUUUAUAUGGGAAGCGGUACCAUAAGAAAAAGCCCCGGCUAACUACGUGCCAGCCGCCGCGGUAAUUC
rnacentral:rRNA from 1 species